GACGAACGCUGGCGGCGUGCCUAAUACAUGCAAGUAGAACGCACAGUUUAUACCUUAGCUUGCUACACCAUAGACGGUGAGUUGCGAACGAGUGAGUAACGCGUAGGUAACCUGCCUGGUAGCGGGGGGUAACUAUUGGAAACGAUAGCUAAUACCGCAUAAUAUUGAUUAUUGCAUGAUAAUUGAUGGAAGGAUGCUAUUGCAUCACUACUAGAUGGACCGUCGUUGUAUUAGCUAGUAGGUGAGGUAACGGCUCACCUAGGCGACGAUACAUAGCCGACCGGAGAGGGUGAUCGGCCACCCUGGGACGGAGACACGGCCCAGACUCCUACGGGAGGCAGCAGUAGGGAAUCUUCGGCAAUGGGCGAAAGUCUGACCGAGCAACGCCGCGGGAGUGAAGAAGGUUGUCGGGUCGGAAAGCUCUGUUGUAAGAGAAGAACGGGUGUGAGAGUGGAAAGUUCACACUGUGACGGUAUCUUACCAGAAAGGGACGGCUAACUACGUG
rnacentral:rRNA from 1 species